GUGCUUUUACCUUAAACAAAUAAGAGUGUUCAAAGCAGGCUCUCGAGCCUGGAUAAUGGUGCAUGGAAUAGGACCUCGGUUGUAUUUUGUUGGUUUUCGGAGCGCGAGGUAAUGAUUAAGAGGGACAGAUGGGGACAUUCGUACUGUGCCGUUAGAGGUGAAAUUCUUGGAUCGGCGCAAGACGAACGACUGCGAAAGCAUUUGCCAAGAAUGUUUUCAAU
rnacentral:ncRNA from 1 species